CCUUGUUCAGGGAGAGUACAAUAUGCAGUAUUCCUGGGAAUCGCUAGAUGGUGCACAACAUACAAAGAAAAGAAAAGCAAAGCAUGAUGGGACCUCACGUGAUGACGCCCCUUCCCAAUCAUCAUUUCCUUUUGUGCUUCGCGCAAGGUGCACGCAUCGAGUUUGCUCCGGUAUGAUCCGGUAGUGACUCAGUUUUUCGUUGUUGGAAAAUUAUCAAGUGGUGGAGCUACGAGAAGAACCACUUUCGGCGCACCAUGCCGCCGAUAGGGUAAGCCCCUAUCGGUCGGCUACUAUCGUCGCAGCAGGCCGUAAGACCGGGAAGGGUGAAAAGCCCCUAUCGGCGGGCUACUAUCGGUACUGGCGGUCGAGCUUAGCGCUCAAGGCUUGCCAGGCGCUGGGAAGGACCAAAAGGCCCUUUCGGCGCAACAUGCACGGGAAGAAUUCGGGCCAAGCAUGCCGUAGAACCUGGAGGUUAUCGGCGAGGCUACGUAUACAGACGGCCGUCAUACCUUGUGCCUUACACGGAGUUGGCAUUAUCGGCGCACCAGGCCGAAAAACCUGGAGGAUAGCGCAGCCACAGACGGCCGCUAUGGCCAUGGUGCCCGAGGUUGAGGCACUGGCCCUUUCGGAGAAUUGAGGUAAUACCCCACGUUCUUUGCGCCAGGUGACGCUAAAGAUUCGAGAACGGUGGAAGACUGUUCUCGUGGCCCCGUCCAUAUUCAGAAGGAGCGACAGCCGCCGUGCCACGUGGGCCGGUCGGGGUAAUCGACAUCUCAAUGGAACUGUAAGUAGAUUACGGGCUCCGGUCGCUCCGUUAUGGUUGCUCGGAUAAGCUUCCAUGUUGAACACGCUGUUAGGCAUGUUGCCGUUGCAUUCUACGCUCGUCUAGGAGGAGCGUCCAGCAGUUUAACCCAUUAUUUAAAGUCGUUUUAUGAGCGGUUGACUUAGGAAAGACGUCAAUCGGCACAGAAAGGGGCCUCCCCUUCUUCUUCUGCUGACUAUGAUACGUCGCAGUUGUCUGACAAGAGAAGCUCCAGGUGAAUAAAAUAUUGGGAGCUUAUGUUAAAGCUUGUCCCUGAGGGAAGCUUUUUUAUGGCAAUAAAGUUAUCAAUUACUUAGCCAUACUAGAAAUGUGUGUCCGUAAUUAGCAUUAUCAUGAAGAAUGCUCCACAAAGACAAUUGACGAAAUUGAAUUCGUCUGGGACGUUGUGUGACUGGUCACGCACGUAGUUAUUACACAUGUAUGUUCAACGUCUGGCUCUUUGUUGUUACUUUAGACAACAAGAUUUUACAUGUUUCAUGUUGACGAGUCUAACAUGUUUUUGGUAGUCUUGAUAGAAUAUUGUUCUAUACGAGGAACACGUGUCCUUUCUAAUAAACCAUUGUUAUGCAAACAAUGCAAACAUUGCGAAUGUUGUCGGCAAAUGGUCGGCGGUAUUCCUCCGAACUCCGCUCACUCAGGAUUUACCGUCCCGGGCGUGGUUGCGGAGCAUUCUUAUGAUUCUACUUCUUCCUGGUAAGUAUGUUCCAGAAGAUGGGAAGAAGGAGCUCUGUGUGCUUCACGGAACUUCAGGUAACAUUGUUGUGUUUACCUACUUACUACGGUUAAAACGAUUGUUUACCUUUUUGCUGUUCGGCGCGGCCUUAUCACAAGAGCCGACAAUGGAGUUUUGUUGUGUUCAUUAUAGUGCAAACAGACAAUAUAGUCUGAACAUGGCAGACACUUGUCAGUUAUACACUGUUUAGCCUUGCGUCCACAUCGCUCGGCUUGGAAGUAUCCUCAUCAUUCUUAGCAUGUUGGUGUUUGACACCGGAACGUUGUCUUCUUCCUGUUGUUUUAGGAUGAAGAAAAUAUUAACCACGUUCUUUAACUGGUUGAUUAACUAUUAUAUGCCGACCAUCUGAGCAUUGUAUACAGUUGCUCGCCACGUGCUCGUCCUGGACUGGCGGGGAUUCCCAGUCACCAGAGCAGGGGCUAUUGAGGUAGCCAAUCAGGUAACUUAUCCUUGAUCCAAUCAAGGACACUACCGUUCGAAUAUUGUAGACGUUCAAUACCUCGUAUGCAGGUGUGAAACCUGCUAUUCUUGCCAGUAGACUUACCGAAUCCACAAGCACUUAGUCGGAUGUUUAUAAAUACCGAUGGCUAAUGUUGUAUCAGAAGUGCGAUUCUUGUUUAAAUCGCUAGAGGACCCCAUUAAAGGGUCAAAAGGUCAUUGGAACGUGCUGGUAACAUUUUGGCCGCCAUAAUCAGUGUACUUCUCACUAUGCCAUAAUUUACGUUCCAGGCUCAGCUAUAGACCUGUUUUUUACACGUUAUACGUUAUCGGGAACAUCACAUUGGUUGAGUCCGACUGAAAGUCCACUAUCAGCGUAACGUUCAGUGGUGUCAUGGGUAUUAAAAGCAACCCGCUUUUUAUCUUGUCGGCAUGAACGCCCCCCCGAUGUUCCAUUCAUAAUUUUCGGGAAAUCGGUGGCCCUGUUUUUGAGGAGGGGCCUCGAGCACGCAAUUCUGCCGCCUUACAUUAACUUAGCUACCUUUCUGGCUGCUAAUUUUACACCAGUAGUUACUUGGUUACGUGUACAGCGGUAAUCUGAAGUCAAGGGGCAAAACGCCUUGGCUACAUGUACCAAUAUGAACGUGAACUUCAAGUUUCGGAACUCUUGUUCUGAAUUGGCGCCGCUGCCCGAGCUUGAUACGUCUCCACAACUAUCGCUAAUAUGGUUGAGUUGUGCGGAGAAAUUGUGCAGAGUAUUUUUGCUUACAAUUACAUUAUGUUUUGUACAUGUUUUGUGGCUUAUUAUUAGCGUUAAGCUACUGCUGGCGCUUCUACGGACGGAAACGUCCGUCGCCCUUCUUCUUCACAUGGUGUUGAAGUAGCGCAAUAUGUGUUCCUUUUAAGUUCACAGGUAACUUACAACAGAGUUGUAGAACAUGUUACACAUAGCCAUGAUCAAAACUGAUCAUGGCAGACAUUGCAGAGAAGAUCAAUUUAAUUAUCUUGUGCAGUCUUUGCACACAGACUAACGUUUAAUAGACGUUGUUGCAUUGUUACCAUCUGGGUUUUUUAUCAUACUAUCCAGCUGGUCAGUAUGCUGAAGCAUAUGUGAUGUGAUCAAUAUGAUGAGACAUGUGAUGUGAUCAAUAUGAUGAGGCAUAUGAUGUGAUCAAUAUGAUGAGACAUAUGAUGUGAUCAAUAUGAUGAGACAUGUGAUGUGAUCAAUAUGAUGAGACAUGUGAUGUGAUCAAUAUGAUGAGAUAUGUGAUGUGAUCAAUAUGAUGAGAUAUGUGAUGUGAUCAAUAUGAUGGGACAUGUGAUGGGAUUAAUACGAUAAAACUUGUGAUGUUUUUCGUAUUAUGUCAACCCUUAUAGUCUUGCUGGUGUCCGCAACAUGACGAAGGCCCACAAUGUACCUUGUCCUUCAGUGCUACUCUUGAUGUGUUGGGGAACAAUGCAAGUUACCAGACACCUUUCUGAACGUCACUAUCCCGAGCUUCCGGCUGUUCUUUCACGAGGAUCAGCCACUUCAUCUAAUGGGUUUCUCCCCUCUAUGAAGGGAAACAAGUGGUUUGUGUUUUUCUCCUCAAAGGUGACUUGAGGAUGGCUCCUUCCCCUUGGGAAAAGGGGGGGGGGGCAAGUUGAUGGGACUGGACAAUGUGUACCAAGUCCUAAGGAUUAAUGCUUUUUCAGUGUUUGUUCAUCAGGCACUCAGUGUUAUCUAACAGUUAUACUGGUAGGACAUUAGGUCACGAGAACUGACCUUCUUAGACUAUAACUGAUACUUCAGUUGAUACCUGUGCUGUCCAGAUACAGCUUUGGAGUCUGCAUAUUGUACUCUCCCUGAACAAGGUCGAGUCAGUGAGGUAUAAUUGGGGGUUAUGCUAAGAUGUACUUACCAUCUACAGUAUAAUCUGAAUUAUACCUCAUACGAGACCUUGUUCAGGUAUAUCUUCCCACCCUCAGUAACUUAUGUUCAGCUGCAGGGGUUUAGUGAACAUUACCCACCCAUGGACAGCACAGACUUAUUUAUCUACUCUCGCACUCAGUCAAUGAUGAUUGGGAAGGGGCGUCAUCACGUGAGGUCCCAUCAUGCUUUGCUUUUCUUUUCUUUGUAUGUUGUGCACCAUCUAGCGAUUCCCAGGAAUACUGCAUAUUGUACUCUCCCUGAACAAGGUCUCGUAUGAGGUAUAAUUCAGAUUAUACUG